CCUGGUACAGGCUGCUGGCAGGCCGGGGUGUGAAGGUGGCUCUCGGCUGGGAUGCGGGAUGCUGUCUCGCCCGCGCCCUUCCCACUGCUAGACGGGACCGCAGCAUCGGUGCUCCGGCAGCCCGACGCGCGCCUGUUCCGUGUGACUCGCAUACGCAAUGCAGCCAUGCUUAACGAGCGUCCAUCGCUGAUUGCCAGGGACCCGGGGAGAGGAUGAGCCUGGAUGGCUCAGUGUGGGCAGGUUGGCGCGGAAGAGGCAGCGGUCCUUCCUGCACAGGACAUGGAAGCUUCUGCCUGUGAAUUUAAUACCAAAGACAAUCAAGAUCUUGGUGACAGACAGAAGCAAAGGAUAAACCAUCAGAUAAGCCCUCACCAGAAAACAGCCUUUGAAGGAGUCAAGAGCAGG